rnacentral:rRNA from 1 species
UACAGAGGUCUCAAGCGUUGUUCGGAUUCAUUGGGCGUAAAGGGUGCGUAGGCGGCGCGGUAAGUCGGGUGUGAAAUCUCGGAGCUUAACUCCGAAACUGCAUUCGAUACUGCCGUGCUUGAGGACUGGAGAGGAGACUGGAAUUUACGGUGUAGCGGUGAAAUGCGUAGAUAUCGUAAGGAAGACCAGUGGCGAAGGCGGGUCACUGGCCCGGUACUGACGCUGAGGCGCGAAAGCGUGGGGAGCAAACAGG